GGGGGGGGGGCACGGGGGGCCUACGGGAGGCAGCAGUGAGGAAUAUUGGACAAUGGGGGCAAGCCUGAUCCAGCCAUGCCGCGUGCAGGAUGACGGUCCUAUGGAUUGUAAACUGCUUUUGUACAGGAAGAAACACUGGUUCGUGAACCAGCUGACGGUACGUAAGAAUAGAUCUAUUUCAC
rnacentral:rRNA from 1 species